CUGACGGACAGCCGUGGGGAAAUGAUGAGACCUCACCUGUCACUGAUCAGCAGACUGCUGCACAGGCUACAGCAUGAAGAGGUGUUUUUAUAUUACAGAUGCGGCCACUCUGCCAGACGAUCCUCAGAAACAAUCUCUGGAUGUGGGAAUAACCAGGGAUGACAGACGAAAGGAAAGAGAAAGAGUCAAACGACAGUCCUGUGCCUUAAGGCCUGGUGGAUGUUCCAUCCUCGGCCUACGGCCCAUGCCUAAUAUUCCUGGUUAUAAGAACGGUGAAACAACAUCAAAACCUCUCCAGGCCGUUCUGAAGAAAAACUGAAAUGUUGUUUUCGAUAUACAGGACAAAAAAAGUGAUCUGAAGAAAAGCCAGACGAAACACCGGAGAGCUGAAAACUGAGACCUUUACCGACUACAUCUUUUCUCUGAGAGACAUUUCUUUCCUUGUUAAAAGAAAUGUUUUUCAUUGUUUCCAUGUACUGUUAUGAAGGCAAUAACCAGUGAAGCUUUGCAUGAUUUAAGAAAUCCCUAUAUUCUUCACUGAUAUGUAUACUUUAGCUCCCUGUAUCUGCAUUAAAAAAUCAAUAAUCUUCAGUAUGCAUUUGCACUUAUCACACCUGACUGAAGGAAAGCAUUAAUCAUUCAAACUUGCAGAAAGGUUUUAGGGCGUUACUCAUGUUCUUCAAUGAAAUAAUACGCUUUCUUCAAGUGCUGCUGAUUUCACAACAGUUCACUUUGUGUAUUCUGUGCUGCAAAAUAAAGCUGACUGGAGUAGAAAUUUUCAUCUUUGUGCAUCAUCUUUAACGGUGAAUAGAAAGCCAUAAAGCAUUAAACUUAAAAAAGCUGUCAUCGUGCAGCGCUCAGCUGGGUCAGUAAAUCCUGUAGAGUUCUGCAUAGUUUUAAAAGCAAAGCCGUG
ensembl:lncRNA